rnacentral:lncRNA from 1 species
CUAUUUUAUGAAUUUGUUAUGGUUUUUUGUGAAAGUAGGGAACUAGUAUGUUUUUUUUUAUGAUUCUAAUGAAUUGUUUUCAUGUUUUUAUUUAUGCUAUUUUAUUUUAUAUAUUUUAAAAUAUUAAUUAAUUAUAUAAUGUGAGGCUCAAAAAGCUUACGCCUCAACGCCUCGAGGCUUACGCCUCGCCUCACGAACAUAAAAACACCUUGCCUUACGCUUUCGCCUUUAAAAACU